CAGUCGCCGCGGGAAUACGGAGGGGGCUAGCGUUGUUCGGAAUUACUGGGCGUAAAGCGCACGUAGGCGGACUGGAAAGUCAGAGGUGAAAUCCCAGGGCUCAACCUUGGAUCUGCCUUUGAAACUAUCAGUCUGGAGUUCGAGAGAGGUGAGUGGAAUUCCGAGUGUAGAGGUGAAAUUCGUAGAUAUUCGGAGGAACACCAGUGGCGAAGGCGGCUCACUGGCUCGAUACUGACGCUGAGGUGCGAAAGCGUGGGGAGCAAACAGGAUUAGAUACCCCAGUAGUCCCUGUCUCUUAUAC
rnacentral:rRNA from 1 species